GCUGGAGGUGGAAGGAUCACUCUUUGCACCCAGGUGGGUGGAGCCAGACUGGGCACAGCCCUCAUGUCGGAAAUUGAGAGGCAGGACAGAAAGUAUAAGAGGCAGGGCCUCCAGUUCAGUUGAGGGGAAGCCAGGGAAGGAGACAGAUGCCUCUUGCCUGUCAGGCCCUGUGACCGACCUAGGUAGCGUCCUGCCCCCAGAGGAGACCAAGUCCGGAGAGGAGCUGCCAAGCUUGCCGGUGGCCAAAUAACUGGAGAAGACCGAGGCUGAAGAGGAGCUGCUCAGAUUGCCGGUGGCUGAAUACCCCGAGGAGAUGGAGGACCCCAUGACUCUGGAGUCCCUUCCCUAAUCAUGCUCAAAAAAUGUGACACAGGGUACUAAAGAGCCCCAGUCAUACGGUGAAUCUGCUUAAAUGAACAGACGCGUCGCUGAAUAGCUUUCACUGCAGUGGCUCUGGCCUCUCUGCUGAUUGGGCCGACAGCUCGAUCCUCAAGAAGGUCAAGUAAAAUGGAACUCAAGUCAUUAUGUGCCAUUGAAGCAAUUACACGCUGCUGACUCAGGGGCAUUGAUAAUCAGCUGUCUGGGUGCUGAUAGCGGUUGGUAGUGGCUGAGAGAAGGAUGGAGGGAGUUGCAACUCCAAUAUGUUCCAGUCUUAGCCUGUUUCAAUAAGUGCCUCUCUAAUGCUGUUAUACGAGGAUGAAAUAUGCCUCAUAAUGCUUUGCAGGUGAUACAAAG